rnacentral:rRNA from 1 species
AUUGAACGCUGGCGGCAUGCCUAACACAUGCAAGUCGAACGAAGUCUUCGGACUUAGUGGCGGACGGGUGUGUAACACGUGGGAACGUGCCUUUAGGUUCGGAAUAACUCAGGGAAACUUGUGCUAAUACCGAAUGUGCCCUUCGGGGGAAAGAUUUAUCGCCUUUAGAGCGGCCCGCGUCUGAUUAGCUAGUUGGUGAGGUAAAGGCUCACCAAGGCUACGAUCAGUAGCUGGUCUGAGAGGAUGACCAGCCACAUUGGGACUGAGACACGGCCCAAACUCCUACGGGAGGCAGCAGUGGGGAAUCUUGCGCAAUGGGCGAAAGCCUGACGCAGCCAUGCCGCGUGGAUGAUGAAGGUCUUAGGAUUGUAAAAUCCUUUCACCGGUGAAGAUAAUGACUGUAGCCGGAGAAGAAGCCCCGGCUAACUUCGUGCCAGCCGCCGCAGUAACAC